AGCAGCCGCGGUAAUUCCAGCUCCAAUAGCGUAUAUUAAAGUUGUUGCAGUUAAAAAGCUCGUAGUUGAAUUUCAGGCCUGGCUGGGCGGUCCGCCCUUCGGGUGAGUACUGCCUGUGGUCGGGUCCUACCUUCUGGCGAAGCGUCAUGGCCUUCACCGGCCGUGGCGGGGAACCAGGACUUUUACUGUGAAAAAUUAGAGUGUUCAAAGCAGGCAAUCGCUUGGAUACAUUAGCAUGGAAUAAUGGAAUAGGACAAUGGUUCUAUUUGUUGGUUUCUAGGACCGUUGUAAUGAUUAAUAGGGAUAGUUGGGGGCAUUAGUAUUCAAUUGUCAGAGGUGAAAUUCUUGGAUUUAUUGAAGACUAACUACUGCGAAAGCAUUUGCCAAGGAUGUUUUCAUUAAUCAAGAACGAAAGUUAGGGGAUCGAAGACGAUCAGAUACCGUCGUAGU
rnacentral:rRNA from 1 species